UACGUAGGGGGCUAGCGUUGUCCGGAAUCAUUGGGCGUAAAGCGCGCGUAGGCGGCCCGGUAAGUCCGCUGUAAAAGUCCAGGGCUCAACCCUGGAAAGCCGGUGGAUACUGUCGGGCUCGAGUCCGGAAGAGGCGAGUGGAAUUCCUGGUGUAGCGGUGGAAUGCGCAGAUAUCAGGAGGAACACCGGUGGCGAAGGCGGCAUUCUGGACCGGCAUUGACGCUGAGGCGCGAAAGCCAGGGGAGCAAACGGG
rnacentral:rRNA from 1 species